UGUGGGAGUGAUUCUACAACCAGGGAGGCUCCGAAUCCAGGAUUCGGAUCGUAUUGGGCUUUUUGGCGGCGUUGGGUUUCUGCCGACCCGAACCCUACGCUCGCACUGGGCGCUGCGCUGGUCGCCGUAGCGACGCCGGCGCUGGUCACGGGGA